GUUCUGGUCACCCGCGAUCCGCGUCAGCUUGAUCGCCAGCACCGCCCCGUUUCCGGAACGUUGAGUGUCACCGCCUUACUCUUCGAUUGAUUUCUAAUUAAUUUGUGACAUUGGUGGAUGCUCCACAAUAUACUGAGUACAAAAGUGUUCAUGGUCCUUCGAGCCUCAAAGAUAGGCACUAUAUAUUAACAGCCACAAGACAAACCACAAACUAAAGCAAAACAGAAACCGGUUAAGUGACAAAAAUAAUAACUUAUAAAUAAACAAAAAAGUAUAUAUACAACAAAAGACAAAAACAAAAUAAUAAAAAAGUAGAGUGGAGCAAAACAAAAAAAUUUGGUGACUCGGCAAAAAACGAAUAUACAAGGUGCAGUGACACAACCAAAACAAACAAAAAUAAAAACAAAAAAACCCAAACAGAACAAACAAAAAAUACAUAAUAAGUGAGGUGACAAAAUGUGAACAAAAACAAAGUACAUUUGAAAAAUUAAGACACCAAACAUUUUAAGCAAACAAAAAAGCAACAAAUCGGCCGCGAAAUAGAAAAUUAAAAUAUUAUCUUGCGGGCGCGAGUCGCAUCCAAAACGAAAAUACGUAUACAAACAAAUAGACAAAAAAAGUGCAGUGGAGCAAACAAACGAAAAACAAAAAAAACCGGAUAAAGUCCAGUGAACCGCCAAAAACUUCAAUGCCAAUAUAUACCUAAGAAACAAUUUCAAAGGUUUAAACAAACAAAAACCCACACAUCGGAAAAACAACAAAAUACUUAAAAUAUAAAUCGGGCGCGAAAAGCAAAAAAACUUAAACAAUAAAGCAAACACAAAACAAACAUACACAGGCAAUCGAACGCGCGAAAUCUAAAAGCGCCAAAAGAAAUAUACACAAUAACAAAACAAUCGGGCGCGAACAAAAAAUACCUGCAAAAUAUUAAAAAA
rnacentral:lncRNA from 1 species